AUGCUGAGAUCUGUGCAGAAACCUAGGGUGUUGGAAUUUAUGGAGGAAGAAGAGAAAGAGUGGAGGGUUCAGGAAGUGGGGGAGAGAGUGCCAUUGUGUCGUAUCACAUCCUCCAACUCAGCACCUGCAGUCGCUCCCAGCUGCAGCAGUGCAGGCAGCAGGGUUUUUGUACGGCCACUAAACCUGUUUGUAUCACUGUGGAACACUUUCGGUGGAGGAACUAAACUGUCUGUGGGCCGCCUCACCCAGCCCAGUGUGACGGUGUUGCCCCCCUCCAGUGUGGAGCUGCAGCAGGAGAAGGUCACACUCGUGUGCGUGGCCUACAAGGGCUUCCCCUCGGACUGGAGGCUGAGCUGGAAGGUUGAUGGGAGCAGCUGGAGCUCGGGGGAGAGCCGCAGCACCGCAGUUCUGCAGGCGGACGGCCUCUACAGCUGGAGCAGCACGCUGAGCCUCCACCCGGAGCAGUGGAGGAACAAGGUGGUGACCUGUGAGGCCUCCAAGGACAACCAACCACCUGUGGUGAGCACAGUGAACACAGAGCAGUGCUGAGAGCUGUGAGCUCACACACACGUUACUCAGCUCACCUUCUACUGCUUCACUGUGUGUUCCAUGUGGCCUUUACUGCUCAAAUGUCCCACUUUCAUCAUUUCAUCUGAGUUAUUGACAUGUGAGCUCACACACUCCUCACUUUAACUCAGCUCUUCUUCUCAUCACCUAAAUAUGUGUUAAGUGUGUGUAUCACUGCAAUGUCCUGCUUUGAAUUAUUAAUAAAAGCCUUUUGAAUCA